AGUUUGGAUCCUGGCUCAGGAUGAACGCUAGCGGCAGGCUUAAUACAUGCAAGUCGUGGGGCAGCAGGUUUGUAGCAAUACAGAUGCUGGCGACCGGCAAACGGGUGCGGAACACGUACAGAACCUUCCUUUGAGCGGGGAAUAGCCCAGAGAAAUUUGGAUUAAUACCCCAUAGUAUAAUGAAGUGGCAUCACUUUAUUAUUAAAGAUUUAUCACUCGAAGAUGGCUGUGCGGCUGAUUAGGUAGUUGGCGGGGUAAAGGCCCACCAAGCCUGCGAUCAGUAACUGGUGUGAGAGCACGACCAGUCACACGGGCACUGAGACACGGGCCCGACUCCUACGGGAGGCAGCAGUAAGGAAUAUUGGUCAAUGGAGGCAACUCUGAACCAGCCAUGCCGCGUGGAGGAUGAAGGUCCUCUGGAUUGUAAACUUCUUUAUAUGGGACGAAAAAGGCUUUCUAAGUCGUCUGACCGUACCAUAUGAAUAAGCACCGGCUAACUCCGUG
rnacentral:rRNA from 1 species